rnacentral:rRNA from 1 species
GAUGAACGCUGGCGGCGUGCCUAAUACAUGCAAGUCGAGCGAACAGACGAGGAGCUUGCUCCUCUGACGUUAGCGGCGGACGGGUGAGUAACACGUGGAUAACCUACCUAUAAGACUGGGAUAACUUCGGGAAACCGGAGCUAAUAUCGGAUAAUAUAUUGAACCGCAUGGUUCAAUAGUGAAAGACGGUUUUGCUGUCACUUAUAGAUGGAUCCGCGCCGCAUUAGCUAGUUGGUAAGGUAACGGCUUACCAAGGCAACGAUGCGUAGCCGACCUGAGAGGGUGAUCGGCCACACUGGAACUGAGACACGGUCCAGACUCCUACGGGAGGCAGCAGUAGGGAAUCUUCCGCAAUGGGCGAAAGCCUGACGGAGCAACGCCGCGUGAGUGAUGAAGGUCUUCGGAUCGUAAAACUCUGUUAUUAGGGAAGAACAAAUGUGUAAGUAACUAUGCACGUCUUGACGGUACCUAAACAGAAAGCCACGGCUAACUACGUG